rnacentral:rRNA from 1 species
GAUGAACGCUAGCUACAGGCUUAACACAUGCAAGUCGCAGGGUAACAUGAGGAAAGCUUGCUUUCCUUGAUGACGACUGGCGCACGGGUGAGUAACGCGUAUCCAACCUUCCCAUAACUACGGGAUAACCCGUUGAAAGACGGCCUAAUACCGUAUGAUAUCGUUUGCUGACAUCAAAUAACGAUUAAAGGUUUAGCGGUUAUGGAUGGGGAUGCGUCUGAUUAGCUUGUUGGCGGGGUAACGGCCCACCAAGGCGACGAUCAGUAGGGGUUCUGAGAGGAAGGUCCCCCACAUUGGAACUGAGACACGGUCCAAACUCCUACGGGAGGCAGCAGUGAGGAAUAUUGGUCAAUGGGCGAGAGCCUGAACCAGCCAAGUAGCGUGCAGGAUGACGGCCCUAUGGGUUGUAAACUGCUUUUAUGUGGGGAUAAAGUGCGUGACGUGUCAUGCAUUGCAGGUACCACAUGAAUAAGAACCGGCUAAUUCCGUG